UGCCAGACUCCUACGGGAGGCAGCAGUGGGGGAUAUUGCACAAUGGGGGAAACCCUGAUGCAGCGACGCCGCGUGAGUGAAGAAGUAUUUCGGUAUGUAAAGCUCUAUCAGCAGGGAAGAAGAUGACAGUACCUGAGUAAGAAGCCCCGGCUAACUACGUGCCAGCAGCCGCGGUAAUACGUAGGGGGCAAGCGUUAUCCGGAUUUACUGGGUGUAAAGGGAGCGUAGACGGUUAUGUAAGUCUGGAGUGAAAGCCCGGGGCCCAACCCCGGGACUGCUUUUGAAACUGUACAGCUUGAUUGCAGGAGAGGCAAGUGGAAUUCCUAGUGUAGCGGUGAAAUGCGUAGAUAUUAGGAGGAACACCAGUGGCGAAGGCGGCUUGCUGGACUGUAAAUGACGCUGAGGCUCGAAAGCGUGGGGAGCAAACAGGAUUAGAUACCCCAGUA
rnacentral:rRNA from 1 species